rnacentral:rRNA from 1 species
AGAGUCCUACGGGAGGCAGCAGUGAGGAAUAUUGGUCAAUGGGCGAGAGCCUGAACCAGCCAAGUCGCGUGAAGGAUGACGGCCCUACGGGUUGUAAACUUCUUUUGUCAGGGAGCAAUUGGGUCCACGCGUGGGCUUAGCGAGAGUACCUGAAGAAAAAGCAUCGGCUAACUCCGUGCCAGCAGCCGCGGUAAUACGGAGGAUGCGAGCGUUAUCCGGAGUUAUUGGGUUUAAAGGGUGCGUAGGCGGAGUAUCAAGUCAGCGGUAAAAAUUCGGGGCUCACACCCGUCGUGCUGUUGAAACUG